UACGUAGGUGGCAAGCGUUGUCCGGAAUCAUUGGGCGUAAAGGGCGCGUAGGUGGCCCGGUCAGUCUUUGGUGAAAGCGCGGGGCUCAACCCUGCGUCGGCCAGGGAUACUGCCGCGGCUCGAGCACUGUAGAGGCAGGCGGAAUUCCGGGUGUAGCGGUGGAAUGCGUAGAGAUCCGGAAGAACACCGGUGGCGAAGGCGGCCUGCUGGGCAGUUUAGCUGACACUGAGGCGCGACAGCGUGGGGAGCAAACAGG
rnacentral:rRNA from 1 species